rnacentral:rRNA from 1 species
UACGGAGGGUGCAAGCGUUGUUCGGAAUUAUUGGGCGUAAAGCGCGUGUAGGCGGUUUUUUAAGUCUGAUGUGAAAGCCCUGGGCUCAACCCAGGAAGUGCAUUGGAAACUGUCAGACUUGAAUACGGGAGAGGGUAGUGGAAUUCCUAGUGUAGGAGUGGAAUCCGUAGAUAUUAGGAGGAACACCGGUGGCGAAGGCGGCUGCCUGGACCGAUACUGACGCUGAGACGCGAAAGCGUGGGGAGCAAACAGGAUUAGAAACCCCUGUAGU